rnacentral:rRNA from 1 species
UACGUAGGCAGCGAGCGUUGUUCGGAGUUACUGGGCGUAAAGAGUGCGUAGGCGGUUUUCUAAGUUUGGUGUGAAAUCUCCCGGCUUAACUGGGAGGGUGCGCCGAAGACUGGAAGGCUUGAGUAUGGGAGAGGUAAGCGGAAUUCCUGGUGUAGCGGUGAAAUGCGUAGAUAUCGGGAGGAACACCAGAGGCGAAGGCGGCGACCUGGACAGCUACUGACACUCAACUACGAAAGCGUGGGGAGCAAACAGG